UACGAAGGGGGCUAGCGUUGUUCGGAAUUACUGGGCGUAAAGCGCACGUAGGCGGAUAUUUAAGUCAGGGGUGAAAUCCCAGAGCUCAACUCUGGAACUGCCUUUGAUACUGGGUACCUUGAGUAUGGAAGAGGUGAGUGGAAUUCCGAGUGUAGAGGUGAAAUUCGUAGAUAUUCGGAGGAACACCAGUGGCGAAGGCGGCUCACUGGUCCAUUACUGACGCUGAGGUGCGAAAGCGUGGGGAGCAAACAGGG
rnacentral:rRNA from 1 species